UACGAAGGGGGCUAGCGUUGUUCGGAAUUACUGGGCGUAAAGCGCACGUAGGCGGAUAUUUAAGUCAGGGGUGAAAUCCCAGAGCUCAACUCUGGAACUGCCUUUGAUACUGGGUAUCUUGAGUAUGGAAGAGGUAAGUGGAAUUGCGAGUGUAGAGGUGAAAUUCGUAGAUAUUCGCAGGAACACCAGUGGCGAAGGCGGCUUACUGGCCAUAACUGACGCUGAGGUGCGAAAGCGUGGGGAGCAAACAGG
rnacentral:rRNA from 1 species